GUGAAGAACGCAGCGAAAUGCGAUAAGUAGUGUGAAUUGCAGAAUUCAGUGAAUCAUCGAAUCUUUGAACGCACAUUGCGCCCCUUGGUAUUCCAUGGGGCAUGCCUGUUCGAGCGUCAUUUGUACCUUCAAGCUCUGCUUGGUGUUGGGUGUUUGUCCUUGCUCUAGUGGCGGGACUCGCCUUAAAGUAAUUGGCAGCCAGUGUUUUGGUUUUGAAGCGCAGCACAAGUCGCGAUUCAAGUCUAUACGCUAGUUUCCACAAGUCUUUUAUCACUUUUGACCUCGGAUCAGGUAGGGAUACCCGCUGAACUUAAGCAUAUCAAUAAGCGGAGGA
rnacentral:misc_RNA from 1 species